rnacentral:lncRNA from 1 species
AUCAACGAGAGUGGAAGAUUCCCCCAUUUCUGGCUUGGUCUGAACAGUGUGGUCUGGUAGGAAAGGUUCAGCAGCAGGGUAAUAAAAGGUAUGUGGCUCAGGUGGUAUAUUUGAAGUAGUUUGGGGUUGUGGGCCUUGCCUGCGAGUAAGAAAAGAUGAAGGAUUAGGAGGGUAAGCGUAUGGCAAAUUUUUGGUGGGAUAGGCGAAAGUUUCCUCGGGUGGAAUAGGGAAUGAUGGAGUAAUAGUGACUUGAGUUGAAGGGAUGACAAACGAUUCUGGCUCAGCCUGCUUGACGGGUAUAGGUUCAGGUUGAACUCCGCUGCUGAUUAGCUCGUCAAUCAAUUUUCUUUGGGCGCCAUCUCAGAUGCCAUUUCCCCAAAUUUGGCAAGUAAUUCAGUC